CGUCAGAUUGAAUGCUGGCGCAUGCCUUACACAUGGCAAGUCGAACGGUAACGGGCCUUCGGGUGCCGACGAGUGGCGAACGGGUGAGUAAUGCAUCGGAACGUACCUUUCAGUGGGGAUAACGUAGCGAAAGUUACGCUAAUACCGCAUAUUCUGUGAGCAGGAAAGCAGGGGAUCGCAAGACCUUGCGCUGAUUGAGCGGCCGAUGUCAGAUUAGCUAGUUGGUGAGGUAAAGGCUCACCAAGGCGACGAUCUGUAGCGGGUCUGAGAGGAUGAUCCGCCACACUGGAACUGAGACACGGUCCAGACUCCUACGGGAGGCAGCAGUGGGGAAUUUUGGACAAUGGGGGCAACCCUGAUCCAGCCAUGCCGCGUGAGCGAAGAAGGCCUUCGGGUUGUAAAGCUCUUUCGGCCGAGAAGAAAUCGCAUGGGUUAAUACCCUGUGCGGAUGACGGUACCGGCAUAAGAAGCACCGGCUAACUACGUG
rnacentral:rRNA from 1 species